rnacentral:tRNA from 1 species
GGCCCCUUCGUCUAGUGGUUAGGACACAAGCCUUUCACGCUUGUAACACGGGUUCAAAUCCCGUAGGGGUCACCA